rnacentral:rRNA from 1 species
GAUGAACGCUGGCGGCGUGCCUAAUACAUGCAAGUCGAGCGAACGGACGAGAAGCUUGCUUUUCUGAUGUUAGCGGCGGACGGGUGAGUAACACGUGGAUAACCUACCUAUAAGACUGGGAUAACUUCGGGAAACCGGAGCUAAUACCGGAUAAUAUUUUGAACCGCAUGGUUCAAAAGAGAAAGACGGUCUUGCUGUCACUUAUAGAUGGAUCUGCGCUGCAUUAGCUAGUUGGUAAGGUAACGGCUUACCAAGGCAACGAUGCGUAGCCGACGGGAGAGGGUGAUCGCCCACACUGGAGGUGAGCCACGCUCCAGACGCCUGCGGGAGGCCGCAGUAGGGAAUCUGCGGCAGUGGGCGAAAGCCUGACGGAGCAACGCCGCGUGAGUGAUGACGGUCUUCGGAUCGUAAAACUCUGUUAUGAGGGAAGAACCUAUGUGUCCGUAGCUGUGCACAUCGUGACGGUACCUAAUCAGAAAGCCACGGCUAACUACGUG